rnacentral:misc_RNA from 1 species
AUGGGCAGAGGCUGGGAUAGACAUUAAG